rnacentral:rRNA from 1 species
GACGAACGCUGGCGGCGUGCUUAACACAUGCAAGUCGAACGGAAAGGCCCUGCUUUUGUGGGGUGCUCGAGUGGCGAACGGGUGAGUAACACGUGAGUAACCUGCCCUUGACUUUGGGAUAACUUCAGGAAACUGGGGCUAAUACCGGAUAGGAGCUCCUGCUGCAUGGUGGGGGUUGGAAAGUUUCGGCGGUUGGGGAUGGACUCGCGGCUUAUCAGCUUGUUGGUGGGGUAGUGGCUUACCAAGGCUUUGACGGGUAGCCGGCCUGAGAGGGUGACCGGCCACAUUGGGACUGGGGAACGGCCAGACUCCUACGGGAGGCAGCAGUGGGGAAUAUUGCACAAUGGGCGGAAGCCUGAUGCAGCAACGCCGCGUGCGGGAUGACGGCCUUCGGGUUGUAAACCGCUUUCGCCUGUGACGAAGCGUGAGUGACGGUAAUGGGUAAAGAAGCACCGGCUAACUACGUG